UCAAAAACAUCGCCUUUAGCCGUACAAGUAUUAAAGGUCCAGCCUGCCCAGUGAACCACUUUAACGGCCGCGGUACCCUAACCGUGCAAAGGUAGCGUAAUCACUUGUCCCUUAAUUAGGGACCAGUAUGAACGGCUACAUGAGGGCCGAACUGUCCCCUACAACCAGUCAAUGAAACUGAACUUUCAGUCAAAAAGCUGAAAUAAACACAUAAGACGAGAAGACCCCGCGGAGCUUUAAGCAACCCACUACGCAACACAAAUAGGCCACCAAUGGCACCAACCACGGACUAUAGUAGGACAAAGCUUUUAGUUGGGGCGACUACGGAGAAAAACAAAACCUCCACGAACCAGGAUUCCAUCCAAUAUAGGCCGACAGGCCAAAAUUAACACACUCUGACCCAGCCAAGCUGAUCGUCGAACCAAGUUACCCCGGGGAUAACAGCGCCAUCCUCUUUCAGAGUCCCUAUCGCCAAGAGGGCUUACGACCUCGAUGUUGGAUCAGGGCCCCCAGGCAGUGCAGCCGCCGCC
rnacentral:rRNA from 1 species